rnacentral:piRNA from 1 species
UCUUUUCGCCCAACUCAUGCCUCUUGC